UACGUAGGGGGCGAGCGUUGUCCGGAAUCAUUGGGCGUAAAGAGCACGUAGGCGGCCAUGUAAGUCGGAUGUGAAAUCCCGAGGCUCAACUUCGGAACUGCAUUCGAUACUGCAUGGCUUGAGGAAGGUAGAGGAGAGUGGAAUUCCCGGUGUAGCGGUGGAAUGCGCAGAUAUCGGGAGGAACACCAGCGGCGAAGGCGGCUCUCUGGGCCUUUCCUGACGCUGAGGUGCGAAAGCGUGGGUAGCGAACAGG
rnacentral:misc_RNA from 1 species